rnacentral:rRNA from 1 species
UACGAAGGGGGCUAGCGUUGCUCGGAAUCACUGGGCGUAAAGGGUGCGUAGGCGGGUUUUUAAGUCAGGGGUGAAAUCCUGGAGCUCAACUCCAGAACUGCCUUUGAUACUGAAGAUCUUGAGUCCGGGAGAGGUGAGUGGAACUGCGAGUGUAGAGGUGAAAUUCGUAGAUAUUCGCAAGAACACCAGUGGCGAAGGCGGCUCACUGGACCGUAACUGACGCUGAGACACGAAAGCGUGGGUAGCAAACAGG